rnacentral:rRNA from 1 species
CGAACCGUCCAAACGUUAUUCGGAAUUACUGGGCUUAAAGGGUAUGUAGGCGGCGCUGUUAGUCGGGUGUGAAAUCCCUCGGCUCAACCGAGGAAUUGCGCCCGAUACUGCAGUGCUUGAGGGAGACAGAGGUAAGCGGAACUGAUGGUGGAGCGGUGAAAUGCGUUGAUAUCAUCAGGAACACCGGUGGCGAAAGCGGCUUACUGGGUCUCUUCUGACGCUGAGAUACGAAAGCUAGGGGAGCGAAGGGGAUUAGAUACCCCCGUAGUCCUAGCUGUAAACGUUGAGCACUUGAUCGAGGGCCCCCCAUAGGCUCCCGGUCGUAGCGAAAGUGUUAAGUGCUCCGCCUGGGGAGUAUGGUCGCAAGGCUG